GUACGGGAGGCAGCAGUGAGGAAUAUUGCGCAAUGGGGGCAACCCUGACGCAGCGACGCCGCGUGGAUGAUUAAGGCCUUCGGGUUGUAAAAUCCUGUCAGAUGGGAAGAAGUGUGUAGUACUUAAUACGUGCUGCAUUUGACGGUACCAUCAAAGGAAGCACCGGCUAACUCCGUGCCAGCAGCCGCGGUAAUACGGAGGGUGCAAGCGUUGUUCGGAAUUACUGGGCGUAAAGCGCGCGUAGGCGGCUAUAUAAGUCAGAUGUGAAAGCCCGCGGCUCAACCGUGGAAGUGCAUUUGAAACUGUAUAGCUUGAGUACUGGAGGGGGUAGUGGAAUUCCCGGUGUAGAGGUGAAAUUCGUAGAUAUCGGGAGGAAUACCGGUGGCGAAGGCGACUACCUGGCCAGAUACUGACGCUGAGGUGCGAAAGCGUGGGGAGCAAACAGGAUUAGAUACCCCUGUAGUC
rnacentral:rRNA from 1 species